UCUUAGUAGGUUAGGAGACAGACAUUUGAACGCCAAUCUUUACGAGUGCAUGCCCUGUUUUAUUCAGCACUCAUAGAGUCAUUAAUUGAUGCAACUGUGAAGCCGUUCGAAUCAAUCUCGAACAUGAAAUGAGAUUUCUUCGGUCGUCCACCCUACUCUGGUCGUUUCUAGCUUCACUGUUGCUACUAGAAUUUUGUGCAUCUAUGGACUCACUUAACCAGUCCCGGCCGAUGAGUGAGGGUGACACGUUAAUCUCCGCCGGAGGAAAGUUCCAGCUGGGAUUCUUCAGUACAAACAACUCGAGCAACCGUUAUCUCGGGAUUUGGUUCCACAAUAUCCCAGCUAGUACGAUCGUUUGGGUUGCAAACAGAGAUAAACCCCUCGGUGGCUCGCCGGGUAGUUUGAAGAUCGAGCAGGGGAAUCUAACCAUCGAAGACAGUUCCGGAGAAGCUGUUUGGUCGUCAAAUUCUGGGAAUCUAUCCUCGAGCAGCAUAAUUGCGACGCUCCUUGAUUCAGGGAACUUGGUUUUGAAAUAUGAUAACUCGGAAAGUUAUCUCUGGCAGAGUUUCGAUCAUCCUACUGACAUGUUGUUAGCGGAAAUGAAACUUGGAUGGGACUUCAAGGUUGGGUUGGAGCGGCAUAUUAGGUCGUGGACGAGCAUGGAGGAUCCUUCUCCGGGACGGUUCUCGUACAGAAUGGACAUCCGGGGAUUUCCACAGAUUAGGCUUUUCGAGAGCAACACCACAAGCAGGUACAGGAGCAUUCCUCACUUUGGAAGUAUCCAAGCAACUAACAACUUAGUCUUUAUACCGACUUUGGUAUAUGAUUCUCAGGAAGCUUACUAUUCAUAUGUUCCCCAUGACCAGAACACUUUGACGAGGUUUGUUAUGAAUUACACCGGCAAGCUCCAGCGUUACAUGUGGAACAACCAAGCACUCAAUUGGACACUUCUAUAUGAGUUACCAAGUGAUUCAUGUGACGAGUAUGCAAAAUGCGGUCCUAAUGCAGUCUGUGUCACGGUGAAUUCUCUGCAAAGUUGCAAAUGCCUCACUGGCUACGUGCCGAAAUCGGGCCAAGACUCGGACACGCUCAACCUGUGGUACUCGGGGGGGUGUACAAGGAAAAACCCAUUUAACUGUUCGGGUCCAGAAGGUUUUAAGCGAGUGAAGAAGGUGAAAUUGCCUGAUUUGUUGCAGUUCGAGAUGAUCAAUAGCUUGAUCCAGGAAUGUGAGCAAAUGUGCUUGAGGAAUUGCACUUGCACUGCUUAUGCGAGUACCAGUGACAGCAGAGGUGGAAGAGGUUGUGUGCUUUGGUUUGGUGAUCUUCUUGACAUAAGGGAAAUUAACGAUUAUGGGAAUGAGGAUCUUUUCAUUCGGGUUAUGGCCUCGGAGAUAGAAGGAAAUUCCAAGAGAAGGAAGUGGGUGCUUGCUGUGGCAGUAGUUCUAUCUGUCGCUUCUGCAAUGUUCUGUUUAUGGGCUUUUUGGAGAAGGAGAAAAGGCGAAGGAGUAAGAUUCAAUGUUCAUGCUGGAGAACAGGAGAAUUUCGAGUUACCCACAUUCGAUGUGGUCAUGAUUUCACAAGCAACUAACAAUUUUUCCCAUUACAAUAAGAUAGGGGAGGGAGGCUUUGGUCCCGUUUACAAGGGUCAGCUCCCCAAUGGGCAAGAAAUUGCUGCGAAGAGACUGUCAGAAACCUCUAGGCAGGGACUCAAUGAGUUCAAAAAUGAGGUCAUGCUGAUUGCUAAACUUCAACAUCGAAACCUUGUGAAACUUUUGGGAUGUUGCAUUGAAGGAGAAGAGAGGAUGCUAGUGUACGAGUACAUGCCCAACGGAAGCUUGGACACCUUUAUAUUCGGUACAAAAAGGGGAAGUUGUCUAGCAUGGCGGAGGAGAUUAAAUAUCAUAGUGGGUAUAGCUAGGGGACUUCUUUAUCUUCAUCGAGAUUCAAGAUUGACGAUUAUCCAUAGGGACCUCAAAGCUAGCAACAUGUUGCUGGACAGUGAGAUGAACCCAAAAAUAUCGGAUUUUGGCAUGGCCAGGACCUUUGCAGGAGAUCAGCUCUUGGAGAAAACCAAACGAAUAGUCGGCACUUACGGCUACAUGUCACCGGAAUAUGCUGUUGAUGGGCUAUUCUCGGUAAAGUCCGACGUCUUUAGCUUCGGAGUGCUAUUGCUCGAAAUAGUGAGUGGCAAAAGGAACAGAGAGUUUCACCAUACUGACAACCAUUUCAAUCUUCUCGGUCAUGCAUGGAAAUUAUGGAUCGAGGGGAAAGCACAUGAGCUGAUAGACGCAAGGAUGGAGGAUUCAUUCCCAUUUUCUGAAGUUAUGAGAUGCAUACAAGUCGGUUUGCUGUGUGUGCAGAAACGCCCUGAAGAUAGACCUACAAUGUCUUCUGUGCUUCUAAUGCUUGACAGUAAGAAUGAUAUCUCCGGAGAAAGACGCAGAUAUUUGGUUUAGACAAAACGGAGCUUCGAGAGCGAUGCAAGAAAAAGUUUGGCAUCUUUCCAAGAAUAAACGAUUCUCCGUAUAGGAAAAGGAUCUACUAUGAUUCUGUGUGAAUGAGAAUACGAUAUUCUCUUUUCUCCAAAAUUGCUAUGGUAUCAGAGCAGAAGAAUUUCUGAGAACCGUGAGAGAGAGUGUAAGAAUGAGCAGCAGCAAAGGGAAGAUGGUUGAUAUCACCUCGCCCUAUUUCCUUAGCACAGCAGACGGCACAGGAGCUGUGCUCGUGACCUGCAAACUCACGGGCACAAACUAUUUGACUUGGUCAAGGGCCAUGUUGAACGCUUUACAAGCCAAAAAUAAGCUUGGUUUCAUUGAUGGAACCCUGCAGAGACCAGUAGAGACGGCAGAGGAGUUUGGAGCAUGGAAGAUUUGCAAUGCUACGGUGGUUGCUUGGAUUUUUAACUCGUUAGAUACGAGUCUACAUGCCAGUGUUGCUUAUGCAAGUGAGGCUAAAGCACUCUGGGAUGAUCUGAAGUAGCGUUUUUUUCAAGGGAAUGCAACAAGAAUUCAGCAGAUCAAGGCUGAAUUGAGUGUAUUGCGACAAGAUGGACUCACAGUUGGGAAAUACUACACAACUUUGAAGGGCCUAUGGGAUGAGUUGGAUGAUUACUCUCCAAUUCCAAAGUGCAUGUGUGAUGCAGUAACUGAAUUUGUGAAGCAGAAAGAAGAAGAAAAGAUUCACUAGUUCCUGAUAGGGUUGAAUGCAGAAGUGUUUGGGACUGUACGUUCUCAAAUUUUAACAUAUGAUCCUUUACCUUCCAUGGGCAAGGUUUACAAUAUGCUAAUCUUAGAAGAAAGACAAAAGAUGGCCACAACGAAUCGAGAUAUUAACCUGGAAAGUACUGCCCUUGUAGCAAUGGGCAGUGACCGACUAGGAAAGAAGAGCUGUAGCCAUUGUGGGAAAAUUGGCCAUGAGCGAGUUGAAUGUUAUCGGUUGAUGUCCUAUUCUUAUUGUCGGAAGAAUGGACAUGAGAGAACAGAUUGCUAUCGACUAAAUGGUUAUCCUGCUGAUAAGGGUGAGAGGAGAAACAAUGUUGGCAGGAAAGACACAAAUUAUCAAGGAAGAAAGCAGGAAGGAUGGAAGCUAGCAAAGACAGAGGAACAACAAAGAGAUGGAGCUCGGUCCGCAAGUUACUUGGUCAAUGACAAUCCUCAUGUAAGUACGUGGAAAGGAGGAGCAAUGUUUCUUUGCCAACAGAAAUACACAUUGGAUAUCUUAACUCAAACCGGAAUGCUCGGAGCAAAACCAGCUAUGUUUCCCAUGGAGCAACAGCUUCGGUUAUCUUUUGAUGCGGGUUCUCGGCUUUCUGAUCCUGAACAAUAUCGACGCCUCGUGGGACGUCUUGUGUAUUUAACUAUCACACGACCAGAGUUGUGCUAUCCAGUUCAUAUUUUAUCUCAAUUUAUGCAAGAUCCGAGACAACCACAUUGGGAUGCAGCUAUGCGAUUACUUCGAUAUCUUAAAGGAAUGCCAGGUCAAGGAAUACUUCUCCAACCUUCUUCUCUUCACUUAUAGGCCUAUUGCGACUCGGAUUGGGCUAGCUGCCUGAUGACUCUUCGUUCUCUCACCGGGUAUUUCAUCACUCUCGGGGGUUGCCCCAUUUCAUGGAAAACCAAGAAACAAACUACGGUUUCCAGAUCAUCUGCUGAAGCCGAAUAUUGUUCUAUGGCAAGUGUAACAAGUGAGAUAUUAUGGUUAAAAAGCUUGCUUUGGUCUUUCAAGAUCGAGCACUCCGAGCCAGUGCAAUUAUUCUGUGAUAGUCAGGCUGCUCUACACAUUGCUGCCAACCCUGUUUUUUACGAGAGAACAAAACAUAUUGAAAUCGACUGUCAUUUUAUUCGGGAGCAUCUACGGUCAAAAACCAUUCUUGCUUCUCAUGUGUCUACUCGUUUGCAACUGGCAGAUAUAUUCACCAAGGCACUUGGGAAGGAACGUUUUUGGUUUCUUCUUGGCAAGUUGGGCAUUCAUGAUAUUCACGCUCCAACUUGAGGGAGAGUAUUAGGGAAGUCAAUCCCGGAUAUAGUGGCAAUUGAUAUUGUGUUCUUAUUUCCUUGAUUCUUCCCUUGUAUCUUUUCCCAUUCAUUGUAAUUAGCUAGUCAUAUAUUAUCUUUCCUUCUCAGUCUUCUGGUAAUUGAUGUACAUAUAGGAAAAGGAUGUACUAUGAUUCUGUGUGAAUGAGAAUACGAUAUUCUCUUUUCUCCAAA